AUGGGGGAUAUGCUUCCCUUGGUCGCAGGGGGCUCAUCUGUAGCGAGAAGGGCUUAUGCCAGAGAGCUGGUCAUUCCAGUGCUUUCCAUUCCUUCUCUUUUCAGGGAACUACAUUCCAUCAAACUUGGUGAAGCUCUCAAUGAUCUCACAUGGAAGGCCUCAAUAAAGCUGGGGGAACCUCCUGGAUGCAAAGUGUCCUCAUCAUCUGUGGGGGAGACCCAGACUCUGGCCGGAUCCCACCAAGAACCUGAUCUCCUCUGCCGACGUCCUCCUCUCCACCCCAGGAUGGGGCCCCAGGGCUGGCUCCCGAAUUGUUCCAGUUAAAGAGGGUGUUUGAUGUCAGCCACCUGGGAAAAGGGGAAGUGGGGUCCAACUGUUCUUUCAGCCCCAUGUUAUGUGGCCUUUUCCAAGUUCAGACAGGGUCCAGCCUCCUCCCUCUGAGUUGUGGGCCCCACAUCUGGGCUGGGAAGAGAGUGAGAAGCAGGGCUGGGGCCCCUUAGUAAAGGAUCACAGCUUCUGUAGCAUGCAGGGGUGGGGGUGGGGGAGUUCUUCCAGAACCACCAGGGCUGUGCUGCCAGGCAUCAGAACCCACUCAGGAGCCCAGCUCUGUUCAUGUCCCACCCAGAUGUCUCUCACUUUCUGAGAAGUGGAAAUUCAGUGCUUGCAAGAUCAAGAGCAUGUUAUGGAUACCGUGUAACUUGCCCCCAGCAGAUGGACAUCUCUGUUAAAGAGAAUAUAAUAGCACGUUUGGUAGAUUUGGGUCAGAGGAUAAAAGGCUGUCUUAGGCAUCAUUUGCAGGGAUCAGAAACCCAUUCAAGCUAGCUCAAGUGAGGUGGGUUAUGGGAAGCAGACAGGGAAAGCCAGUUACCAAAUGGCUCCUCCCACACCUCUCCCUGGGUGAGCACCAUAGACUCGACCAACUCUCUUCAUUUUUUUUUUUAAUUUUUAAAAUAUUUAUUUAUUUUUGAGAGAGGGAGAGAAACAGUGUGAGCGGGGGAGGGGCAGAGAGCGAGGAAGACACAGAAUCGGAAGCAGGCUCCAGGCUCUGAGCUGUCCGCACAGAGCCCAAUGCAAGGCUUGAACUCACGAACCCUGUGAUCAUGACCUGAGCCAAAGUUGGACGCCCAACCAACAGAGCUACCCAGGGGCCCCAUCAAACUCUCUUCUGGCAAACUCUCUUCCUUAGCUUCCCUGUAAGUCCCACACAGCUAUGGCCACAGCAUGCCACGGGCUGUCCCUUCACCACCCCUCAGGGGCCCUGGAGUGCACUGAAGAGUAUUCCCCCAAAUUCUUGUCUACCUUGAACCUUAGAAUGCGGCCUUGC
rnacentral:lncRNA from 1 species